AUACGGAGGGUGCAAGCGUUAAUCGGAAUUACUGGGCGUAAAGCGUACGUAGGCGGUUAUUUAAGUCAGAUGUGAAAGCCCCGGGCUUAACUUGGGAACUGCAUUUGAAACUGGGUAACUAGAGUUUAGUAGAGGGGAGUGGAAUUUCAGGUGUAGCGGUGAAAUGCGUAGAGAUCUGAAGGAACACCAGUGGCGAAGGCGACUCCCUGGACUAAAACUGACGCUGAGGUACGAAAGCGUGGGGAGCAAACAGGAUUAGAUACCCUAGUAGUCC
rnacentral:rRNA from 1 species